AUGGGUCUUCCCUUCAGUGCGUUAAACAAGUUAGGAGUGCCAGGGUUGGGCGCAGUAACAACCGGACAAGUUUAUGAUCGACAUUUUAAGGACAGGGACACGGGCACCUUUAAAGACUUUCAUCUUGCAUAUGUCGAAUUCUGCAAGUAUUUCAACACUGUGUUGCCUGGCCAAGAUUUUGAUACUCCGGACCGUGGGGAACUAGAGGCAUUCCAUAAAAAAUGGGCAGUGGCGGACGAGCCUGGAAGGAAGAAGAUGUUCAUCGAGUAUAUGCAGGAAAACGUCCACGAGGCCAAAGUUGACGACAGCCUCUUCAUCAUGGCCGGCCUGGCUGCGCCAGCGGCGGCCAUCAUCGCCAAGAAGAGCGGCGAGAGCAUCCCGCAGGUCAAGAAGUUCAAGGUGCAUCUAAUCCCCAACGUCAUCUUUGUGCCGGUGUGCACGCUGGUUGCCAUCAUGGGUGCCACUGCAGUUCAGAUGAGCAAGAAGAGCAAAGACAACAACAAGCCUACGAGUUGA
rnacentral:rRNA from 1 species